AUUAAAUUAAAGCAUACAAGAAACAGAAAAUUGAUUCACAGUUGACGUGAAGAUGCCUAAAUAUAAGGGGUACAACUAGUUACGUAUUCCAAGGCAUAUAAAAAAGAAAAACCAAUUAGCCCAAAGACUCAAUUAUGUGGCAAUUUCUAUCUUUCUUCUGCCUUUAGGACAAUUAGUUACCUCAGAAAAUUUCCAGGCAGCGAUACAACAAAACCUAUAAAGAUCAGCUUCAUUGUUUUCAUCAACGAUGGUGCACAAGAGAAAUUUACUCUCCGAGCUUGGUCCUUCUGUAAAGGUGACAGUGCACCACAAAAGAUGGUGUUAGCUGGAACUGGAAGCUCAGAGUUCUCCGGAUUCACCACAUUAAUAUAAGUUUCUUGACCAAGGUACCACGAGUCAAGGUUUUGAGCACGUAAAUUCCAAAUGCCAGGAUUGUCUAGGAAAACUAAAAUGGCAGUCCAAGCACCUGGAAACACCUGGGUAGUGCAUCG
rnacentral:misc_RNA from 1 species